GAAAUGCGAUAAGUAAUGUGAAUUGCAGAAUUCAGUGAAUCAUCGAAUCUUUGAACGCACAUUGCGCCCGCCAGUAUUCUGGCGGGCAUGCCUGUUCGAGCGUCAUUACAACCCUCAGGCCCCCGGGCCUGGCGUUGGGGAUCGGCGGAAGCCCCCUGCGGGCACAACGCCGUCCCCCAAAUACAGUGGCGGUCCCGCCGCAGCUUCCAUUGCGUAGUAGCUAACACCUCGCAACUGGAGAGCGGCGCGGCCACGCCGUAAAACACCCAACUUCUGAAUGUUGACCUCGAAUCAGGGAGGAAUACCCGCUGAAGUGAAGC
rnacentral:misc_RNA from 1 species